GUGAGUGAGGGGGUGAUUAGUGACAGAGUGAGUGAGUGGGUGAUUAGUGACAGAGUGAGUGAGGGGGUGACUAGUGAGGGAGCGGGUGACACAGUGACAGAGAGAUGGAUGGGGUGACCUAUGUUGUUGUCACCCCCUCCCUCAGUCACUAGUCACUACCUCCCUCUGUCACUAGUCACUCCCUCCCUCUGUCACUAGUCACUCCCUCCCUCUGCCACUAGUCACUCCCUCACUAUGUCACCAGUCAUCCCUUCACUCUGUCACUAGUCAUCUCUUCCCUCCCUCAC